rnacentral:RNase_P_RNA from 1 species
AAUACGAGUUGGCUUAUCGCGUCUGAGCAAUCAGGCGAGGAAAGUCCGGGCAGCGCAGAGCACCCUACUUCCUAACGGGAAGGAGAACGGUUGGGAACGACCGUUCGACAGCUAGUGUCACAGAAAAUAUACCGCCGAAAGGUAAGGGUGAAAAGGUAAGGUAAGAGCUUACCGCCCGCUGGGUGAUCAGCGGGGCAGGAUAAACCUUAGGGGCUGAAAGACCAAAUAAGCGUCGGACGUGGGGCGGCUCGUUCCCGUUCGGGCGUAAGCCCGAUGCCGACGCGGGUAGGUCGAACGAGGUGGCCGGUGACGACCAUCCCAGAUAAAUGAUAAGCCAUCUGACUCAGCCACAAGCCUACGUCAGUGGACAGAACCCGGCUUAUAGGCUCGUAUUGCCC